rnacentral:misc_RNA from 1 species
GUCAGAUGUUCCAGAUUACCUGAAACACGUUGAGUCACGGUUGCACGAAGAGCAUGACAGGUGCUUGCUAUACUUGGAUGGAACUACGAGGAAGCUACUUAUUGCAACUGCUGAAAAACAGCUUUUGGAACGGCAUACAUCUGCAAUCCUUGACAAGGGAUUCACAAUGCUUAUGGAUGCAAAUCGUAUUGAAGACCUUCAGAGAAUGUACACCCUUUUUUUGAGGGUUAAUGCUCUUG